rnacentral:rRNA from 1 species
AGUGAACGCUGGCGGUAGGCCUAACACAUGCAAGUCGAACGGCAGCACAGUAAGAGCUUGCUCUUACGGGUGGCGAGUGGCGGACGGGUGAGGAAUACAUCGGAAUCUACUUUUUCGUGGGGGAUAACGUAGGGAAACUUACGCUAAUACCGCAUACGACCUACGGGUGAAAGCAGGGGAUCUUCGGAACUUGCGCGAUUGAAUGAGCCGAUGUCGGAUUAGCUAGUUGGCGGGGUAAAGGCCCACCAAGGCGACGAUCCGUAGCUGGUCUGAGAGGAUGAUCAGCCACACUGGAACUGAGACACGGUCCAGACUCCUACGGGAGGCAGCAGUGGGGAAUAUUAGACAAUGGGCGCAAGCCUGAUCCAGCCAUACCGCGUGGGUGAAGAAGGCCUUCGGGUUGUAAAGCCCUUUUGUUGGGAAAGAAAAGCAGCAGGUUAAUACCCCGCUGUUCUGACGGUACCCAAAGAAUAAGCACCGGCUAACUUCGUG